rnacentral:lncRNA from 1 species
UAUUUUUCUUAUUAUCUUACAAUGAGGCAGGAUAUUUUCAUGUUUUGUACACUGAAUAUUAUACUCAGUGGAUCUCUCAUCCCCUGUCCCCAUCUCAUUUUAUUUAUUUUCUCCCUUGGAUUAUACAUGGAGAUGAGGAGAGAAAAGGCAAGCAAGAGAUAAAGACUGAGAAUGAUGAUGGCUAAUGGUUUCUUUUUUCAAUUCAUUUUUUAAUUUGCUCCAUGUCUGCUGGAAUAUAUGAAGAUUCUUAUGUGCGAUCCCUGGGUAUUGAAAAUAGAGCAUGGCAUUUGGAAUGAUUGAAACAUGAGUAAUAUACAAUAUACUUUUGACAGUUUGUUUUGUUCUUGAAAUAUGAUUUUUGAGAGAACAAUUCUGGAUGGACAUCUAAACUUAUUACUCUUGUUAACUUUCCCCCAAAUUAGUGAUUAUGAAAAUGUAUUCUAGCAAAUGAAAGAAUAUCUAAAAAUUUUGAGUUUAAAUAUUAACUAAGAAAAUCAGAUUUGUCUGAAUAUCAAAAAUUAUUCUGAAUAAUUAUCCUUAAACUUCUGUUUGCAGAGAUCAUUUUUUAUAAACCUGAUCAGCAAUGGCAGCCUUUCCCACAUCUCAGUGUCUUAAAAU